rnacentral:rRNA from 1 species
CUACGGGUCGCAGCAGUGGGGAAUAUUGCACAAUGGGCGCAAGCCUGAUGCAGCCAUGCCGCGUGUAUGAAGAAGGCCUUCGGGUUGUAAAGUACUUUCAGCGGGGAGGAAGGGAGUAAAGUUAAUACCUUUGCUCAUUGACGUUACCCGCAGAAGAAGCACCGGCUAACUCCGUGCCAGCAGCCGCGGUAAUACGGAGGGUGCAAGCGUUAAUCGGAAUUACUGGGCGUAAAGCGCACGCAGGCGGUUUGUUAAGUCAGAUGUGAAAGCCCCGGGCUCAACCUGGGAACUGCAUCCGAUACUGGGAAGCUUGAGUGUCGUAGAGGGGGGUAGAAUUCCAGGUGUAGCGGUGAAAUGCGUAGAGAUCGGGAGGAAUACCGGUGGCGAAGGCGGCCCCCUGGACGAAGACUGACGCUCAGGUGCGAAAGCGUGGGGAGCAAACAGGAUUAGAUACCCCCGUAGUC